rnacentral:rRNA from 1 species
GUUCCGUGCCCCGCGGUAAUACCGGCAGUCCGAGUGAUGGCCGAUCUUAUUGGGCCUAAAGCGUCCGUAGCUGGCUGAACAAGUCCGUUGGGAAAUCUGUCCGCUUAACGGGCAGGCGUCCAGCGGAAACUGUUCAGCUUGGGACCGGAAGACCUGAGGGGUACGUCUGGGGUAGGAGUGAAAUCCUGUAAUCCUGGACGGACCGCCGGUGGCGAAAGCGCCUCAGGAGAACGGAUCCGACAGUGAGGGACGAAAGCCAGGGUCUCGAACCGGAUUAGAUACCCCAGUAGUCC